AGGGGUGACUAGUGACAGAGUGAGGAAGGGGGUGACACAGUGAAAGAGUGAGGGAGGGGGUGACUAGUGACAGAGUGAAGGAGGUGGUGACUGUCACUAGUCACCCCAUCCCCCGUCACUAAUUACCACCUCCCUCACUCUGUCACUAGUCACCUCCUCCCUCACUCUGUCACUAGUUACACCCUCCCUAACUCUGUCACUAGUCACCCCCUUCCUCACUGUCACUAGUCACCCCCUCCUUCUCUCUGUCACAAGUCACACCCU